CUUUAAGGUUUAACCUGCCCAAUGAUUAAGAUUAAAUGGCCGCAGUAUAUUAACUGUGCAAAGGUAGCAUAAUCAUUAGUUUUUUAAUUAAAAGCUUGAAUGAAAGGUUGGACGAAAUAAAAUCUGUCUUUAUGUAAUUAAUUAUAGAAUUUAACUUUUAAGUGAAAAGGCUUAAAUGUUAUUAAAAGACGAGAAGACCCUAUAGAUCUUUAUAAGUAAUUUAUUAAAAUUUUUAAAGAUUAUUUAUUAUUUUAUUAAAUAAUUUAUUUUAUUGGGGUAAUAUAAAGAUUAAAAUAAUUCUUUAAAUUUAUUUACAUUAAUUUAUGAAUUUAUGAUCCAUUUAUAGUGAUUAUAAGAUUAAGUUACCUUAGGGAUAACAGCGUAAUUUUUUUUGAGAGUUCAUAUCUAUAAAAAAGUUUGCGACCUCGAUGUUGGAUUAAAAAUUAUCUUGGGUGUAGAAGCUUGAGAAUUUGGUCUGUUCGACCAUUAAAUUUUUACAUGAUCUGAGUUCAGACCGGUGUAAGCCAGGUCGGUUUCUAUCUUUAAUAGGAAGAUAAUAUUUUAGUACGAAAGGACCAAAUAUUUAAUAUAUUAAUAUUUAAAUUUUUGAAUAUUAUUAUUACUUUGGCAGAGAUAGUGUAAUGAAUUUAGAAUUCAUAAAUGUAAUUUUAUUACAGGUAAUACUUGUUUAUAGGGGAUAUAUAUCUUAUAUUAAUUUGUAUGUUAUUGUUAGUAAUUUGUGUGUUAGUAGGUGUAGCUUUUUUAACUUUAUUGGAACGAA
rnacentral:rRNA from 1 species